AACGAACGCUGGCGGCAGGGCCUAACACAUGCAAGUCGAACGCUUCAGCAAUGAAGAGUGGCAGACGGGUGAGUAACGCGUGGGAACCUUCCCAGUGGUACGGAAUAGCCCAGGGAAACUUGGGGUAAUACCGUAUAAGCCCUUCGGGGGAAAGAUUUAUCGCCAUUGGAUGGGCCCGCGUCGGAUUAGCUUGUUGGUGAGGUAAAAGCUCACCAAGGCGACGAUCCGUAGCUGGUCUGAGAGGAUGAUCAGCCACACUGGGACUGAGACACGGCCCAGACUCCUACGGGAGGCAGCAGUGGGGAAUAUUGGACAAGUGGGCGCAAGCCUGAUCCAGCCAUGCCGCGUGAGUGACGAAGGCCUUAGGGUUGUAAAGCUCGUUUUGGCGGGGACGAUAAUGACGGUACCCGCAGAAUAAGCUCCGGCUAACUUCGUG
rnacentral:rRNA from 1 species